rnacentral:rRNA from 1 species
GACGAACGCUGGUGGCGUGCUUAACACAUGCAAGUCGAACGAUGAACCCGGAGCUUGCUCCGGCGGAUUAGUGGCGAACGGGUGAGUAACACGUGAGUAACCUGCCCUUGACUCUGGGAUAACUGCUAGAAAUGGUAGCUAAUACCGGAUACGACCCUCGGUGGCAUCACCAGGGGGUGGAAAGAAUUUCGGUCAAGGAUGGACUCGCGGCCUAUCAGCUAGUUGGUGAGGUAACGGCUCACCAAGGCGACGACGGGUAGCCGGCCUGAGAGGGUGACCGGCCACACUGGGACUGAGACACGGCCCAGACUCCUACGGGAGGCAGCAGUGGGGAAUAUUGCACAAUGGGCGCAAGCCUGAUGCAGCAACGCCGCGUGAGGGAUGACGGCCUUCGGGUUGUAAACCUCUUUUAGUAGGGAAGAAGCGAAAGUGACGGUACCUGCAGAAAAAGCACCGGCUAACUACGUGCCAGCCGCCGCGGUAA